GAAUAUUGGACAAUGGGGGCAACCCUGAUCCAGCCAUGCCGCGUGUGUGAAGAAGGCCUUUUGGUUGUAAAGCACUUUACGUAGCGAAGAAGACUCCAUGGUUAAUACCCAUGGAAGAUGACAUUAGCUGCAUAAUAAGCACCUGCUCACCCUUUGCCAGCAGCCGCGGUAAUACAGAGGGUGCAAGAGUUAAUCGGAAUUACUCGGCGUAAAGCGAGCGUAGGUGGCUUGAUAAGUCAGAUGUGAAAUCCCCGGGCUUAACCUGGGAACUGCAUCUGAUACUGUUAGGCUAGAAUAGGUGAGAAGAAGGUAGAAUUCCAGGUGUAGCGGUGAAAUGCGUAGAGAUCUGGAGGAAUACCGAUGGCGAAGGCAGCCUUCUGGCAUCAUAUUGACACUGAGGUUCGAAAGCGUGGGUAGCAAAC
rnacentral:rRNA from 1 species